GGUGUGGUCUAGAAACCCCUCCACAUGGCAGGUGUAGGUCUAGAAACACUCCACAUGGCCGGUUGUAGGUCUAGAAACCACUUCACAUGGCAGGUGUAGGUCUAGAAACCACUCCACAUGGCAGGUGUAGGUCUAGAAACCCCGCCACAUGGCAGGUGUAGGUCUAGAAACCCCGCCACAUGGCAGGUGAGGUUCUAGAAACCUCACCAUGCU
rnacentral:lncRNA from 1 species